rnacentral:tRNA from 1 species
CCACCUGUAGCGUACUUGGAUAACGCAUCAGAUUCCGAUUCUGGGGAUAGCAGGUUCGAGUCCUGUCAGGUGGA